UUCGUAUUGUAUUCUCCGAGUACAUUAACUGUAACAUUAUAUGACGAAAAUAAAUAACGAUACAUUUAGUUAAAGGAGAAAAUAUUCCACUGUCAAGCAUAUCCUUUAUUUUACACAAGUUAUUGCCAAGAAGCCGCCCAAAGAGGGCAACUGACCCCACCACUUUCAGUUCAGCCUCCAUAAAAACCUUAGCCUCCAAGAAGGAAGUGUUAUUAUGAGCAAAAGCAACCCGGAUGAAGCUUUGCUACUACAGUGACAUUUGGUUAAUUAGCCUGACAAGUUACCUUUUCUUUUGGUUUCUUGUGUCUUAGGAUAAUAAAUGUGACGACUCCGUUGGUGCCCGAGGUUUUCUUAACUGUGUGAAGCUGUCAUUUAUUUAUUUAUUAAGUU